rnacentral:tRNA from 1 species
ACUCGGGCUCCGGGAGCGGGUCGAACUCGGGCUCGAACUCCGAGUCGAGCAGCGACUCGAACUCCGGUUCCGAUUCGAACUCGGGCUCC